rnacentral:rRNA from 1 species
GGGCAAACCCAGGCUAAUACCGCAUACGUCCUACGGGAGAAAGGGGGCUUCGGCUCCCGCUAUUGGAUGAGCCUAUGUCGGAUUAGCUAGUUGGUAAGGUAAUGGCUCACCAAGGCAACGAUCCGUAGCUGCGUCUGAUGAGGAUGAUCAGCCACAUCGGGACUGAGACACGGUCCCGAAUCUCCUACGGGAGGCAGCAGUGGGGUAAUAUUGGACAAUGGGGGCAACCCUGAUCCAGCCAUGCAGUGUAUGUGAAGAAGGCCCUCGGGUUGUAAAGCACUUUCAGCGAGGAAGAACGCCUGUCGGUUAAUACCCGGUAGGAAAGACAUCAAUCGCAGAAGAAGCACCGGCUAACUCCGUGCCAGCAGCCGCGGUAAUACGGAGGGUGCAAGCGUUAAUCGGAAUUACUGGGCGUAAAGCGCGCGUAGGUGGCUUGAUAAGCCGGUUGUGAAAGCCCCGGGCUCAACCUGGGAACGGCAUCCGGAACUGUCAGGCUAGAGUGCAGGAGAGGAAGGUAGAAUUCCCGGUGUAGCGGUGAAAUGCGUAGAGAUCGGGAGGAAUACCAGUGGCGAAGGCGGCCUUCUGGACUGACACUGACACUGAGGUGCGAAAGCGUGGGUAGCAAACAGGAUUAGAUACCCUGGUAGUCCACGCCGUAAACGAUGUCGACCAGCCGUUGGGUGCCUAGCGCACUUUGUGGCGAAGUUAACGCGAUAAGUCGACCGCCUGGGGAGUACGGCCGCAAGGUUAAAACUCAAAUGAAUUGACGGGGGCCCGCACAAGCGGUGGAGCAUGUGGUUUAAUUCGAUGCAACGCGAAGAACCUUACCUACCCUUGACAUCUACAGAAGCCGGAAGAGAUUCUGGUGUGCCUUCGGGAACUGUAAGACAGGUGCUGCAUGGCUGUCGUCAGCUCGUGUUGUGAAAUGUUGGGUUAAGUCCCGUAACGAGCGCAACCCUUGUCCUUAUUUGCCAGCGAGUAAUGUUGGGAACUCUAAGGAGACUGCCGGUGACAAACCGGAGGAAGGUGGGGACGACGUCAAGUCAUCAUGGCCCUUACGGGUAGGGCUACACACGUGCUACAAUGGCCGGUACAAAGGGCUGCGAGCUCGCGAGAGUCAGCGAAUCCCUUAAAGCCGGUCUCAGUCCGGAUCGGAGUCUGCAACUCGACUCCGUGAAGUCGGAAUCGCUAGUAAUCGUGAAUCAGAAUGUCACGGUGAAUACGUUCCCGGGCCUUGUACACACCGCCCGUC